AAAUACAUUGUCCGAAUUGA
rnacentral:misc_RNA from 1 species